GAUGAACGCUGGCGGCGUGCCUAAUACAUGCAAGUCGAGCGAACAUACUCGGAGCUUGCUCCUCUGACGUUAGCUGCGGACGGGUGAGUAACACUUCGAUAACCUACCUAUAAGACUGGGUUAACUUCGUGCAACCUGCGCUCAUACCGGAUAAUAUAUUGAACCGCAUGGUUCAAUCGUGAAAGACUGUUUUGCUGUCACUUAUACAUGGAUCCGCGCCGCAUUAGCUAGUUGGUAAGGUAACGGCUUACCAAGGCAACGAUACGUAGCCGACCUGAGAGGGUGAUCGGCCACACUGGAACUGAGACACGGUCCAGACUCCUAAGGGAGGCAGCAGUAGGGAAUCUUCCGCAAUGGGCGAAAGCCUGACGGAGCAACGCCGCGUGAGUGAUGAAGGUCUUCGGAUCGUAAAACACUGUUAUUAGGGAAGAACAAAUGUGUAAGUAAAUAUGCACGUAGUGACGGUACCUAAUCAGAAAGCCACGGCUAACUACGUG
rnacentral:rRNA from 1 species